rnacentral:rRNA from 1 species
CAGCAGCCGCGGUAAUACGAAGGGUGCAAGCGUUAAUCGGAAUUACUGGGCGUAAAGCGUGCGUAGGCGGUGAGUUAAGUCUGCUGUGAAAUCCCCGGGCUCAACCUGGGAAUGGCAGUGGAUACUGGCAAGCUAGAGUGUGUCAGAGGAUGGUGGAAUUCCCGGUGUAGCGGUGAAGUGCGUAGAGAUCGGGAGGAACAUCAGUGGCGAAGGCGGCCAUCUGGGACAACACUGACGCUGAGGCACGAAAGCGUGGGGAGCAAACAGGAUUAGAUACCCCCGUAGUCCCUGUCUCUUAUAC